CUGUUCUCUGUUGCUCACUUCUGGUCAGCACACCCACAUUCAGCUCAUCAAAGUUUAGGAGAUGAAAUACAGAGUUUCACAUCAAAGCCAUCAGCGCUGUCAAAAGUUUCAGUUUCUUCGAGACCGAAUUGCAAAAGCUCCCCAACAAUGGACUUAUCUCCCUACCAAGAAUUUCUGGCAUCGAAGGACCUGUGAAGAAGGCAAGGGAAGAAAGAGGUGGCUGGUGCUGCAGUGUUUGCCAUUGAUCCAGAGGUUUUCCAGUGGACCUCAGGUUCCUGCAGGCUGCCUGGGCCCGAGCCAGGGCGUGACCACACAGAAGAUGAGGAAGGGGAGCUCUGCCUGUUCUCUGUUGCUCACUUCUGGUCAGCACACCCACAUUCAGCUCAUCAAAGUUUAGGAGGUGUAGUUUUGUAUUCACAGUCAUCAGAAAAAGAAUGACAUGAAUUACAACACCCAACUUUUCAGAUCUGAGAAUGUUUGACAUGCCAGGUGUCAUGAGGAAUCUGACUUGUUCUCAGACAUAGCCCAGAAAAGUAAAAGCAAAGUACUUUUGCACAAGGGUGUGCUACCAAAUCAGGUCUGCAGAGCAAUCACACCUGGGUUGGCAGUCCACAUCCCUAAUGCAGCUCUGACCCUUGACCUGGUGAAACAAAUUGAGGGGUACAAUUUAUGACUUUGGUUAUAAUUGAGGUAUAAUUGAGACUCUUCAUUUCUGUCUAAAGUUUCCUUAAAAAUAGAAUUUAAUCCUUCUGCUAACCAUUAACAUAUAGUGUUAGGAUCAUUGGAUUAGAAGAGCACUUGACUUUGGUUUGGUACGGACACAAUAGUUAAUGUUGACUGAU